rnacentral:lncRNA from 1 species
AUGUUCCCCUGCAUGCGCCCGGGGCCCUGGGCUGGUGGCCACAGUGAAUGGCGGCCGCUCUCCCGGCUCCCUGCACCCUCCGCGGAACGCCCGGCGCGCCGCCCGGCCAGGUGCAUCGGGCCUGGCUUUGCCGGAGGCGCGCGGCUCCCGCCGCCGUAUACGGCGGGUCCGCAGCGGAGAUUUACCUCGGCGCAGGGCGGCGGCUUCCGGGGCCGCCCGGCACCCAGGCUCCGAUUACAGGUUCACACGGGGGGCCGGGCCCGCGGCCGCCCAGCCCCGCCGGCGCGCCCUCACGGCCCCGCUCCCCCGCCUGCGCAUUCUUCUCCAUUCAUGCGGACGCCCAGCGCCGCCACCACCACCUCCGCCGCCGCCAGCGCGGCCGCCGUCGCCGCCGCCGCCGCCGCCGGCCGCCCGGAUUGGCUGGCGGCCGCGGCGCCGGCACUUUCCCACGGCCCGCGGCGCGUGCGGCUCACCGGCGGCGCUGCAGGCGCGGCCCUGGCGUGCGGCCAGCCCAAUCGGGGCGCGCGGGGCGGGGCGGGGCCGCGGCCGCCGACCGGCUUGUGUCCCGGCCCGGCCUCCGCAGCCUGCUCGCCGCCGGCCCACCGCCGCCUGCGCCUCCUCCUUCCCCCCAGCGGAGGCCCGACAGAGCCCCUGUGGAGCCGACACACCGCCGCCGGGCAGGGGCGGGCGCCGAGGGCGGGCGCGGGGUUCGCCCUCGCCCUUGGCCUCGCCCCCACCCCGCCCCUGAGCGGCUGCCAAUCAGUGGAGCGAGAAGCCGGAUUGGCCAAGGGAAGGCUGUUGCCCGGGAGCCGACGCCCCGCCCGUCCGCCCCCUUGCCCGCCCCCUCUACUCCUCCGCCCUCCCCAGCGCCCUGGGAAGGGGCGCAGCGUGGGAAAGGGAUGGUUGAGUUUUAACCGGAGGCAGAGAGUGAGCCGGACCAGUGUGUGCGGAGCGCGAGCAGCCGAGCGCGGAGAGGCGCCGCUGCAGUUAACUCCUCCCUGCCCGCCGCGCCGACCCUCCCCCGGGUCCCCCGCGUAG